GGUGUUGGAACUGUUUUGGAGAUAGAUUGGGGAUCCACACUCAUACGAUUAAAGCAGUAACAUUUUAUUUAUGUUUUAAUGAUGCACCAAAUAGAAGGUGAAUGAGGACAGAACUAUAAGGACUGAUCACAUUUAGAGACUGGGACAAAAACAAAUGGGUUCAGAAAAGUAAAAGGAAAACUGAUGGGAUAUCAGGGAAACUGAAGAAGGGGGAGUUUAGGGAAAGGAAAGGUGGUCAGGAGUAUUGCUCCUUGCAGAUAAGUCAAGGUGAAGAAAGACUGAAAGAGACUUUUGGGUUCUAUAUUAUGAAAUCAUAAUGUGGACUUCUGAGAAAGAAGUUUCAAAAGUACUUAAGGAUAGUGUGAACUGAAUUAUAAAGAUCCAGAUGGUAAGAAAUAGACAUAAUGUAACGUACAAGAAGGCAAGGAGAAAGAUGGACUAGACGUUUGAUGGACUCCCAGUGUUGGGAACGAGUUUUUGGAAUCAUGGAGACCUGAUCAUCUUUGUCAUCACAGAAGACCUAGUUCGAGAUGCUAUCCAUGGCCUCAUCCACCCCAGUCUGUUGAAUGACUAAUUUGACCUUUCAUCCAACCAGAAAGAUAGAUAUCACCCUCAUUUUAUACAUUUGAAAAAUCACGACCUCAACGUGUCCUAUGGUAGGGAGGAUGAUGGGGAGGACGUGGGAUGAAGGACACAGGUUAACAUCAGAAAGGAGCAGCUUCAGCUGAUGGCCAGGUGGGGAUGAGGCUCAGAAAGGCAGUGAGGCUGCAGGGACAGAACCGAAGUGCUGGAAAGAGGAUACGAUGAGCCUGGAGGGAAGGAAACUGUGGAAGAGAAUCACUGACAGAAUGUGGCCCAGGGUGGGCCGGGAACAGGCAGCCCAGAUCCAUCAGGACUGGGUUGAACUUGCGUGGACUCAGAGACCAUCAGUGAGCCAUUUUGUCAGUAUUGCUCACAAGCCUUAUUGAACUUUGAAGGACACAGCGUGAUCCUAAUAAAGAGGUCCUGAAGCACAGCCAGACAUCCAGAACUUAAAUCAUGCCCCACAUCACCAAUUCCCCAGGGAGACUGCAGGUCUCCAGAUAAUAGAAGGCAGCAGGCUGCUCUAGCAGCUCCGGAAUGGCAGGCUGUGGUAGAUUAAUGGCCUGGGGAGAAAAGCUCUAAAGCUCUUCUCCCCCCAAAGCAAAGAGCACAACUCUGGAAGCAGAACACUUGGACUUAAACCCCAG
rnacentral:lncRNA from 1 species